CGCCGCCGCCCUCCUGCUCCGCCCCGGUCCUCGCCGCCUUCGUGCUCCCGCUCGCCUACCCCCAAGCGCGCCCGCUACGCGAAGAAGCCGCCCACUGCCGUGACAGCGCCGCACGCUGAUGAGCGGCCGCGUCGGGCGAGCCCACCGGGGCUUCCGCGGGAGCUAGCUGCGCGGGGCACGCGGCGGUGUGGGGCGGUGGAUCCGCGGAAGGAAAUGGUCCCCGCUGCUCUCCUUCUCCUGGCCUCCGGCGGCUAGUCCCUCCACCUGAUCCCCUCUUGGUGGCGACAGGAACUUGGACGCGAAAGGGCCACUGCUGCCUCCCCCCUCCCGCUCGCUUCCCUGCUCGGGCAAAAGCGAGAUGCGGGGGGCUGCCGGCGCUGCCUGUUCUCUAAGCUCCGCCCGCUCCAGGCAGCGGCCGCGGGAGCGGCUUCCCGACCCGCCGGCAGCGCUGGCGGGGAGGGCGGCGGCGGCGGCGGCUCCGGCUCCUCCCGGCCCAAAGAAUGGCCGUAGCAGCAUCCGCCCUGCGGCGGCCUGGGGAGGGACGGAGCCCAGGGGUCUGGGGGGCGGGGAGGGGGGAACGACAAGCAGCGCCUGGACCGGGGCGGGGGUCUCCCCUCUGUCAAAGCCUGUCAGCGCCUGUCAACCCGCCGGCCGCCACCACCUCUCGCGAGAGGAGCAGCGGCGGUGGGGGAUGAGCGGGCCGUGACGGCUCCGCGAGCUGCGGGAAUGAAGCCGCUGGCGCGGCCGGAGGAGCGGCCUGCUUCACAUGGCUUGCUAAGGGACCUCCCGUGCCCCCUCUCGCCCCCGGCAGCUGAUUAUAGCGCUCCGCUGGCGGGGUCGGUUCGCGGGUUGGAGGCUAGGUGGCAGUGGGGCUCCGACGCCCGGCCCGGCGGCCGCAGCUGUGAUGGUGCUUCCGUUGCGCCCGGCGGCCCCUCUCCUGCUCACAGCCCUGCAAAACCCCCAGCCCCGCUUUCAGUCGCCUCAUCUUGGAUCUUUGCCGUACGCAACCUAGCUGCUCCUUAGCGUUGUCCGGGUGUAAAGCGUCCGGGUGUACGGCUUGGAAGCCACAAUCAGGUUGGCCUCACUCAUGGUGAGGGAGAGAGCCAGAGCAGCAGUCUGAGUGAAGCGGGUGACGGAUGGAGCCCUUGCACUUCUGCCAUCAAGAAGAGGUUCCUUCUUAGAAGAAGGAAGAGGGAACUGUGUCAGAAGAGUAUGCUAAUGGGAAGAAAAUGUGGCGCAGAAAAGUCCCAAGAGGGAAGAGUACAUCAUCAUAGUUGAAAUACAGUAGGGGCACAUAAUUCUGUGAGGGAGAACCUUAUCAAAAUGAAAGAAAAAACCGAGGGUGUAUCAUUAAUAGCAAAUAAAUUUUGUGAUGUGCAUCCAUCAAAUGUGAUAUAAUGCUAAAUACUGUCUUUGAAGAAAGCAAUGAAUUGAGGAUGCUACCACAGUCCUCAUGAAAAACAAGGAAAUAGGGGACCCAACAAUAAGAAGACGGAUGAGGAAAAUGCUGUCCUCUCAAAACCGAAAGGACCAAGGAAGUUCAGAAAUACUAGUAUAUGGGAAACUGGCAAGAGUCAGAGGAAAAUGGGCCAGACGUUCUUAAAGGUCCUGGGACUUCACAUGACCUGUGAGAAGGGUGAGAGAAUCUGUAACUUUAAAGGAGAAUAAACAGAACACAUGCUCCAAAUAUGGCCAAAUAAAAUGCCAUUAACACUAAAAAAUACACUUUGAAGGAAAAAAAGAGAAAUUAAUAUUCACUUUAAACUCAAAUUAUUUAUUGCAUACCACUGCUUAAAACAUUAACACAGUAGAGUCUGGGUGUCAUUGGUGAACAAAACAAAAGUGUAAUACAUUAAAUAAAAGUAAGCAAUAAAUUAA